AAAGGAAAGGGAGGAAAUACAAAAAAAUAGAAGAGAAAAGUCAUACAAAGUUAUAUACAAAUCACUACCCCCUUUUUUGUAUUUCCUUAAUUUAUUUCCUUAAUUGAAUUUCGGUUGAUUAAGACGAAGUUCCUUAAAAACCUCUGCCUUCUUUAAAAUAUCCUGAACAGUUUCUGUAGGUUGAGCCCCUUUUUCAAGGAAAUAUAAAAUAGCAGGAACAUUUAAAUAAGUUUGAUUCUUUAUCGGAUCAUAAAAACCCACUUUCUGAAGAUCUUUUCCUUCUCUUCGGGAUCGAACAUCAAUUGCAACGAUUCGAUAGACGGCUCAUUGGGAUAGAUGUAGAUGAACAACACCCCCCCUAGAAACGUAUAGGAAGCUUUCUCCUCGUACGGCUCGAGAAAAAUGAUUGAUUCGAAGUUUUGUCUUUGUAUGGAAUUCUAUCUAAGAAAUGACAACUGGAUCCAUAAAAUGAUCAAAGCAAUUAAAGAUCUAAGUCUUUUUUUCUUCGUUCUUCCUUAAAAUGAAAAAUAAACCAUUCGUACUCUCAUAACUCAAGUUGGAUAACUUUCAAACAGUUCAAAGGAAAAUCUUUCGGCAAUUUCAUUUAUUGAGCGGUCUUUCCUCCUUUUUUGUUUGUCUCGUUUAAAAUCGGAUUCUUCAGUCUGAUCCAGUUAUUAAGACAAUUAAAAAGGUGUUUCCUUGUUCUGGGAUCCUUUAUCUUUGUUUUAUUUUAAAUCAUUGGGUUUAGACAUUACUUCGGUGCUUUUUAAUCCUUUCAAAAUGGCAGCAACAUACCCUUUUUGCGAUUUUUAUGAAAGAAUCCUACAAGAUGAUGGAUUCCCUCGUGAAACACUUUGGAUCGAAAAAGUUUGAUCAAUUCCAAUAAAUUUUUUAAUUUGAAACUUGCUCGAAUUGGAUUCUUUCGAUUUCCAUACCUAAGAUAUAUUAGAUAUAUUUACGAAGUUGUUUCAAUUGUUUUAUUGAUUGGCAUUAACCCUAGACCCUUGCCCCGAGAAAGAAAUUAAUACUUUCUACUCGAGCUCCAUCAUGGACUAUUUACAUUCCAAGACAACAAAAAACGAGGGGUUCUAGUGAAACAGAACCAAUGAUGUCGAGUUAAGAGCACCUUCAUUCCUACAAAAAAUGGUGGAUGUACAAAUCCACAACGGAUCGUGUCCUUCAAGUCGCACGUUGCUUUCUACCACAUCGUUUCAAACGAAGUUUUACCAUAACAUUCCUCUAAGAACCGGUAUGGAAUUGAUUCAAUUAUGGAAUCAUGAAUAGUCAUUGGUUGGGCUGAUGUAUAAACACCAUAAUCUAAAGUAUUUUCUAUAUCUUCUAUAUCUAUAGUAUAUAGAUAUAAAUAAUACUAUAGAUUAAUACUAUAGAUAUAGGGUGGAUAAAUAUUUUUCUGAAGAAGUCUUAGUAAGACCCCAUCGCUAAUAUUAAAUUGUCUAACAUUAUAAUAUUAAUUAAUAAAUAUAUAUAAUAAAAAAUUUUUUUAUAUAAAUAAAAUAAGACGAAUAAACGAAUUCUUUUUAAUUCUGCAUCUUCACGUGACUUAAUAGGAGAGAAAGAUUCAGCUUCUAAGGAAUGAUUUAAACUAUUUCUCUUUCGAAAUUUCGAAUCAAUUUCGAAAGUUCCCCUCUCGACAUCAUUAUUCCAAGAAAAUUUGAUAGUUAAAAAUAACUUUUGAUCAUCUUAGGAAAAAAGAUAAGUCUUUUUUUUUUUUUUUUUCAUCUGAUUAAUAAAAUCCAAAGAAUGGGGAGGGUUUCGUAUCUAUCAAUUCGAUCAAAUAGACUGAGCAAUUGUCACCGUUUAUAGAUAUUGAAAUGAACGCCUUCCCAUCACUGAUUAACUCCUAUCUACCCCAUUCUCUGGGACUGAUGCAGCAUAAAUCAAAAGAAGGGGAUGUCCUAGUCUUUUUUUUUACGAAAUGCGAGCUGGCUGGGCACAAAGCCAAACAAGCCCAGAUUAAGUCCAGUUUUUGCUCCUUUUUUCUAUUUUAGCCUACCUCAUUGAUUAAGAAUUAAGAGACUUAGUGAAUUGAAUUAGUACCAAAAACCCCUUCUUGGCGAAAAGUCAAGAAAUCCACAAAAAAGCAAAUUGAAUCUAAUUAGGCUAAUUUAGGGGGUAGAGAAUAUGAGAUAGGGAAUAUGGAUUCUUUCGUAUCUCGAUUCAGUUUUUGAAAAAAAAAAAACGAUUCAUCGAAGAAAAAAAUCAGAAACAACAAUCACAUUCCAGCUAACAUUUCGAUUUUAAACAGAACAUUGUUAAAAAAGCAAUCUAUAUUGUCAGAGAAUAUAUAUGUUCUGGGACGGAAGGAUUCGAACCUCCGAAUAGCGGGACCAAAACCCGUUGCCUUACCACUUGGCCACGCCCCAUUUAGAUUUCUAUGCGAUACUAAUAAAGUAUAUUGCUGGUUUUGUUUGUUUGUCAACUCUAGCCCAAAUAUCUAUAGAAUCGAUUAGAUUGGUAUUCGGAUUUUUCUAUGUUUUUG
rnacentral:lncRNA from 1 species